UCUGGAUCGAUCACCAUCCUCAUGAUGAUUCUAUGAUUGAAAGUAUUUAGGAAUUAAAUACAUGUCUCUAAUUUUCAACUCUUUGAGAAUAUGUAUCGAAAGCUAAUUCCAUGGACGAUUCAAAGACACAUCAUACUUGAAUGAAAAAUAAACUUAUCCUUUUAUUGAUCAUAUCAAUGUAUUAAGAACAAAAUUGUGUCCUAGAUUUAUUACAAUGUGUUAGCCAUAUUGACUU
rnacentral:lncRNA from 1 species